rnacentral:rRNA from 1 species
AUACGUAGGUGGCAAGCGUUGUCCGGAUUUACUGGGUGUAAAGGGCGUGCAGCCGGGAUGGCAAGUCAGAUGUGAAAUCCAUGGGCUUAACCCAUGAACUGCAUUUGAAACUGUCGUUCUUGAGCACCGGAGGGGCAAUCGGAAUUCCUAGUGUAGCGGUGAAAUGCGUAGAUAUUAGGAGGAACACCAGUGGCGAAGGCGGAUUGCUGGACGGCAACUGACGGUGAGGCGCGAAAGUGUGGGGAGCAAACAGGAUUAGAUACCCUGGUAGUCCACACUGUAAACGAUGAAUGCUAGGUGUAGGGGGUAUCGACCCCUUCUGUGCCGCAGUCAACACAAUAAGCAUUCCGCCUGGGGAGUACGGCCGCAAGGUUGAAACUCAAAUGAAUUGACGGGG